UGCUCUUCUGAUCUCCAGGGCUGUCCUUCUACCCCUUCCCCCCAAACACGAGAUCUUCCUUUGCUCCGAGGGGCUCCCUUGGAGCCUGUGUUGGUGUCUGUCCAUCUGUCUGUCCUACCCGCCCGCGUCCAAUCCUGGGGCGCGGACAGGGCCGGGGCUGUUGCCCCCACGUAUGUUGCCCUCCUCCCCACCGCAUCCCGUCCAAUGUUUCCGCGGGUGUAGCAUGUUCUAUGUAUUUUUAAACGAAGACCAGAAAGCGACGGCUCCCUCCACACAUCCCCGACAGAGACUCUCCGAGGGCCCCCCGGGCAGCCCAGAGCCCCCCACCCAACUCCCACAACGAUCCCAAGAACGUUUGUUGUUUUGUUUUGUUUUGUUUUUAAACCAAAACCAGGAGCCAGGCUGUGCCAUGCCCCCUCCCUCAGCCGGCCCAGUCCGAACGCGGGCGUCGUGUGUCGUGAUUGUGGCAUGGAGAGUCCCCCACCCCCCGUGUGAGCGUGUCCUGGGUGGGCGGGCCCGGGCGCCUCCCCCCUUCGCGUGUCCACGAAUAAAGCCAAUCUGUCUGUA